rnacentral:rRNA from 1 species
UACGGAAGGCAGCAGUGGGGAAUAUUGCACAAUGGGCGAAAGCCUGAUGCAGCUAUGCCGCGUGUAUGAAGAAGGCCUUAGGGUUGUAAAGUACUUUCAUCGGGGAGGAAAAAACAAAACUAAUAAUUUUAUUUCUUGACGUUACCCGAAAAAGAAGCACCGGCUAACUCCGUGCCAGCAGCCGCGGUAAUACGGAGGGUGCUAGCGUUAAUCAGAAUUACUGGGCGUAAAGAGCACGUAGGUGGUUUUUUUAAAGUCAGAUGUGAAAUCCCUGGGCUUAACCUAGGAACUGCAUUUUGAAACUGAAAUACUAGAGUAUCGUAGAGGGAGGUAGAAUUCUAGGUGUAGCGGUGAAAUGCGUAGAUAUCUGGAGGAAUACCUGUGGCGAAAGCGGCCUCCUAAACCGGAAUACUGACACUGAGGUGCGAAAGCGUGGGGAGCAAACAGGGAUUAGAUACC